rnacentral:rRNA from 1 species
GAUGAACGCUGGCGGCGUGCCUGAUACAUGCAAGUCGAGCGAACAGACAAGGAGCUUGCUCCUUUGACGUUAGCGGCGGACGGGUGAGUAACACGUGGGUAACUUACCUAUAAGACUGGGAUAACUUCGGGAAACCGGAGCUAAUACCGGAUAAUAUUUCGAACCGCAUGGUUCGAUAGUGAAAGAUGGUUUUGCUAUCACUUAUAGAUGGACCCGCGCCGUAUUAGCUAGUUGGUAAGGUAACGGCUUACCAAGAGCGACGAUACGUAGCCGACCUGAGAGGGUGAUCGGCCACACUGGAACUGAGACACGGUCCAUACUCCUACAGGAGGCAGCAGUAAGGAAUCUUCCGCAAUGGGCGAAAGCCUGACGGAGCAACGCCGCGUGAAUGAUGAACGUCUUCGGAUCGUAAAACUCUGUUAUUAGGGAAGAACAUACAUGUAAGUAACUAUGCACGUCUUGACGGUACCUAAUCAGAAAGCCACGGCUAACUACGUGCCAGCAGCCGCGGUAAUACGUAGGUGGCAAGCGUUAUCCGGAAUUAUUGGGCGUAAAGCGCGCGUAGGCGGUUUUUUAGUCUGAUGUGAAAGCCCACGGCUCAACCGUGGAGGGUCAUUGGAAACUGUAAAACUUGAGUGCAGAAGAGGAAAGUGGAAUUCCAUGUGUAGCGGUGAAAUGCGCAGAGAUAUGGAGGAACACCAGUGGCGAAGGCGACUUUCUGGUCUGUAACUGACGCUGAUGUGCGAAAGCGUGGGGAUCAAACAGGAUUAGAUACCCUGGUAGUCCACGCCGUAAACGAUGAGUGCUAAGUGUUAGGGGGUUUCCGCCCCUUAGUGCUGCAGCUAACGCAUUAAGCACUCCGCCUGGGGAGUACGACCGCAAGGUUGAAACUCAAAGGAAUUGACGGGGACCCGCACAAGCGGUGGAGCAUGUGGUUUAAUUCGAAGCAACGCGAAGAACCUUACCAAAUCUUGACAUCCUUUGACAACUCUAGAGAUAGAGCCUUCCCCUUCGGGGGACAAAGUGACAGGUGGUGCAUGGUUGUCGUCAGCUCGUGUCGUGAGAUGUUGGGUUAAGUCCCGCAACGAGCGCAACCCUUAAGCUUAGUUGCCAUCAUUAAGUUGGGCACUCUAAGUUGACUGCCGGUGACAAACCGGAGGAAGGUGGGGAUGACGUCAAAUCAUCAUGCCCCUUAUGAUUUGGGCUACACACGUGCUACAAUGGACAAUACAAAGGGCAGCGAAACCGCGAGGUCAAGCAAAUCCCAUAAAGUUGUUCUCAGUUCGGAUUGUAGUCUGCAACUCGACUACAUGAAGCUGGAAUCGCUAGUAGUCGUAGAUCAGCAUGCUACGGUGAAUACGUUCCCGGGUCU